rnacentral:rRNA from 1 species
AAGGUGGCCUUUGUGCUGCCGCAGAUGGAUGAGCCUGCGUUGGAUUAGCUUGUUGGUGGGGUAAAGGCCUACCAAGGCUACGAUCCAUAGCUGAUUUGAGAGGAUGAUCAGCCACAUUGGGACUGAGACACGGCCCAAACUCCUACGGGAGGCAGCAGUGGGGAAUAUUGGACAAUGGGGGAAACCCUGAUCCAGCAAUGCCAUGUGUGUGAAGAAGGCUCUAGGGUUGUAAAGCACUUUAGUUGGGGAGGAAAGCUUAUAGGUUAAUAGCCUAUGAGAAGGACGUUACCCAAAGAAUAAGGACCGGCUAACUCCGUGCCAGCAGCCGCGGUAAUACGGGGGGUCCGAGCGUUAAUCGGAAUUACUGGGCGUAAAGGGUCUGUAGGUGGUUUGUUAAGUCAGAUGUGAAAGCCCAGGGCUCAACCUUGGAACUGCAUUUGAUACUGGCAAACUAGAGUAUGGUAGAGGAAUGGGGAAUUUCUGGUGUAGCGGUGAAAUGCGUAGAGAUCAGAAGGAACACCAAUGGCGAAGGCAACAUUCUGGACCAAUACUGACACUGAGGGACGAAAGCGUGGGGAUCAAACAGGAUUAGAUACCCUGGUAGUCCACGCUGUAAACGAUGAGUACUAGCUGUUGGAUUCGGUGUAAAGGAUCUAGUGGCGCAGCUAACGCGUUAAGUACUCCGCCUGGGGACUACGGCCGCAAGGCUAAAACUCAAAGGAAUUGACGGGGACCCGCACAAGCGGUGGAGCAUGUGGUUUAAUUCGAUGCAACGCGAAGAACCUUACCUGGUCUUGACAUCCUGCGAACUUUCUAGAGAUAGAUUGGUGCCUUCGGGAACGCAGUGACAGGUGCUGCACGGCUGUCGUCAGCUCGUGUUGUGAAAUGUUGGGUUAAGUCCCGCAACGAGCGCAACCCCUAUUGAUAGUUACCAUCAUUAAGUUGGGUACUCUAUUGAGACUGCCGCUGACAAGGCGGAGGAAGGUGGGGACGACGUCAAGUCAUCAUGGCCCUUACGACCAGGGCUACACACGUGCUACAAU